rnacentral:misc_RNA from 1 species
UUGAAUUUUUGAAGGAGCUGUUUGCUGGCCCUUAGCGGGGCAUGUGCACGCUCCGUUCAAAUCCAACCUUUAUACACCUGUGCACUCUUUGUAGGGUUGUGGCCGCGAGGCUGCACCCUAUGUCAUUAUAAACUCUUUAGUAUGUGUAGAAUGACCAUUGCGUGUAACGCAUCUUUAUA